rnacentral:rRNA from 1 species
GACGAACGCUGGCGGCGUGCCUAAUACAUGCAAGUCGAACGCACUCUCGUUUAGAUUGAUGGAGUUUGCUCCUGAUUGAUAAACAUUUGAGUGAGUGGCGGACGGGUGAGUAACACGUGGGUAACCUGCCCUAAAGUGGGGGAUAACAUUUGGAAACAGAUGCUAAUACCGCAUAAAACCUAACACCGCAUGGUGUAGGGUUGAAAGAUGGUUUCGGCUAUCACUUUCGGAUGGACCCGCGGUGCAUUAGUUAGUUGGUGAGGUAAAGGCUCACCAAGACCGUGAUGCAUAGCCGACCUGAGAGGGUAAUCGGCCACACUGGGACUGAGACACGGCCCAGACUCCUACGGGAGGCAGCAGUAGGGAAUCUUCCACAAUGGACGAAAGUCUGAUGGAGCAACGCCGCGUGAGUGAAGAAGGUUUUCGGAUCGUAAAACUCUGUUGUUGGAGAAGAAUGUAUCUGAUAGUAACUGAGCAGGUAGUGACGGUAUCCAACCAGAAAGCCACGGCUAACUACGUG